CUGCUAGAGAUCUAGAAGAGAACAGCAAUCAUUCAAGCCACAAGCCAGAGGCCAUAGACCAGGAGAAACAGAAUCAACCAGAGCCAAUCAGAGGGUUCCUGGAGGUGAAUUUUGAAGUCAAAUACCAUAGAGUGAAAGAAGAAUCUGGGAAUUAUAUCCAUCAUUGGCUACCUUCAAAUAAAACUGUGCCAAGGACUUUGGUGGUGCUAACUUUCCUUCUGAUUCUGUGACCGCAGAGGUGGGGUAAGUUAUGUGACUGCGGAAAAUAUGGGUUUCAAGAUUGUGAAUUGCUCAAACUGUAAAGAUAAUUUUUAGCGUCUUGAUUUUUUAUCAAAAAUAAGUGGUCGC
rnacentral:lncRNA from 1 species